GAUUACGGUUAUAUAUUCGAUACGCAACGAGUACAAUUAUAUACAAUUAACGCGUCAUUGACUUCUAAAUUUACCUCGGUGCCAUAAUUGCACUAAUUAAUCCCGCCUAUAUAUUCGAUCAGAUCUGAGAAUUAGUACGCGUGUUCACGAUGAACGAGAGAGAGGAAAAUAAAAUGCGAAAGCGGUUUAUUAUCCGGCGGAAGCUAGCCUAUUCAACAUCGAUGGACCUUCCAGCGAGCCCUGAUCCUUACGCCAAUAUUGAUUCGAUUAACCUUCCUUAACCUCGGGGGCAUACGGACCGAGGGGUUUGUCUGCCACUGACAGCUAGUGGGUGUAUCUCGAGGUGUGCUGACACUCGAUAAGUCCCAGAUGAGAGAUCGUAAGGGACAGAAUGUUACCGCGUUACCCACUACGCUCCAUGAUGUCGAACGACCUCGUGCGAGUACAUCAAAUCUUUUGCCGAUAGCAUCCACGUCUUGGUCAGUCUUACGUUUAUCGUCGUGUAUUUCAGCCACUUUUUAUAGUUUUCAUAGAUAUGAUAAGGCGAAUGAAAUGUAUUCGCCGUCAAGUAUGAACAUCUGUUUGUGAUUUCGAGCGAUUGUGUGUGUCCGGCUGAAAUUUACUUUGCGAAAACGGUUUUAAUAUCGCGAAAGAGGAGUAUCCAGAUAUCUGUCAAUUUAGCGGAUUAACACGGAUGUGUAUACUGUAUAUUUGUUGUUCCUUCCAAUAAAAAGAUUUUAUAAACACAAAAAA